UGUGAACCAUUGUGAUGUUGGUGUUCAGCAAUUAAUGGUUCCAAGGGUCACAAGAAUGCUCCGAGAGCUGGAGGCCCUCUGCUCUGGAGUCAGGGAUUCUGUGAAAUCGGCACAGACAGCUGCCAGCCCUGGCUCCAUGGGAACCUCAGCACUCAGAGCCAGCAGGGAUGUGCUGGGCAGCAGGGCCGGGAUGUGCUGGGCAGAGCAUGUGGGCUCUGCUGGGAGAGGCUCUGAAGGCAGCACAGCUGGGGAGAUCCAUCCAGCCUGGGAACACGGGCCUGGCCAAGCAGCCACGAGGAGACUCCAGUCCCCGGCACCACUGUCCCAUUCCUCAUUUCAUAGAGCAUCAGAACUGCUGAAGCCUGAGAAAAUACCCAGUCCAGCCAUCCCUCCCCCCUCAGUAAUCCAUUCCCUGAGCUGGAUUUAGGGAUUCACUGUGGCAUUAAAUGCAAAUAACAGACGAGUCGGUUUCGCCCCAAAUGGGGGAAGAGAGCGAGUCUGGGAAAGGAGUUUGUGUGCGGUAACGUAACCGUAACCGUAGCUCAGAGGGGCCCACGGCCCCACGCUCUGUGUGUCUCUGCGUGCGUCUAUUUUACCCCUAAUACUCGUGGACUGCUGGCUUGUAAUGUGACGACUUUUCAACGUCAAUAAUGUAUUGAAUAACACUGUCAGAAACGGGGAAGCGUUAACUCUUUCCCUAGGCUGCAGCUCGCUGUGGGAGCUCUGCAGAGGAGCUGCGGUCCCGUGGGCAGCGCUGUGGAUAUUCAAACCCAGCCCUGGGGCAUCUCUCAUCCCAAGGCUGUUCCCUAUGCCCCAGGCACAGGGACAAGAAUGAUGGGAGCCUGGUCCCUCCCCAUCUGAUGGUAGCCUGGCUGAGGGUGGCAGAGUGUGGCACAUUUUAGCACAGAACUUUUGAAUUAGUUAGGAAUUUACCAAUUAAGUCAUGUUAACUGACAAGGCAUUGCUUGCUGUUAAAUUUGGCACAUCUCUGAUUUUUUUCCC